rnacentral:rRNA from 1 species
AAGUCGUAACAAGGUCUCCGUUGGUGAACCAGCGGAGGGAUCAUUACCGAGUUUUCAACUCCCAAACCCCAUGUGAACUUAUACCAUUUACAACCGUUGCUUCGGCGGGUUCUCGCCCCGAGCAUGUCUGAGUGGAAUCAUUACAAAAUGAAUCAAAACUUUCAACAACGGAUCUCUUGGUUCUGGCAUCGAUGAAGAACGCAGCGAAAUGCGAUAAGUAAUGUGAAUUGCAGAAUUCAGUGAAUCAUCGAAUCUUUGAACGCACAUUGCGCCCGCCAGUAUUCUGGCGGGCAUGCCUGUUCGAGCGUCAUUUCAACCCUCAAGCCCCAGCGGUUUGGUGUUGGGGACCGGCGAGUACAGAGGCUUUGGGGACUUGUCCCCCUUCCCUCGGCGCCGCCCCCGAAAUGAAUUGGCGGUCUCGUCGCGGCCUCCUCUGCGUAGUAGCACAACCUCGCAUCAGGAGCGCGGCGCGGCCACUGCCGUAAAACGCCCAACUUUUUUUUAAGAGUUGACCUCGAAUAAAGGGGGAAUACCCGCUGAACUUAA